GGAAGUGUCCUUUCUAAAGAACAGCAUUCUGGGUAUGAAGAUGUUGAUAAACUUAUUACAGCAGGGGUCAAACCUGACUACUAUAAUGACAUCACCACCACAAAAGGCCCAUCAGAGCAACAAAUGACACCAGAGGAUUAUGAUGAUGCGAUCACUGCUGGUGGGAGACAUCAUGCUACAGAAGAAUUAUCAGAAAACUAUGAUGAUGUCAUCACUGUACAGCAGUUCUUAAAUGUUCAAACAGACUAUGAUGAUGUGGGGGAGGUGCCAGGAAAACAUGGAGGAACUGUUUAACUGAAAUCACACCCACUGUCUCAAAUCCUUUUAAGGGUCCACAGAGUUUAAGUUCAAUGUUUUGUCUGCAAUCCACCAAUGUUUUAUAAUACAUUUUGUAUCGAAAUCUCCUAAAUCAGUUACAAUUUCUGAGAGAAAAAAAAAAUGCUUUUAACUUUUUUAGAAAUGCAACAAA